rnacentral:lncRNA from 1 species
AGAAGAAAGCUUCUCGGUUGGUCUCCUUAGUUAUAUCCCUCACAAGCCUCUUUCUCUCUCUAACCUCUCUCUCUCUCUAUUGGCUAAGUGAGAAAGAAGAUGAAGAAUGAAGAAAAAUAAAAGAGAUGAGAGGUAAUUGGUUUUCAAUAGCCAAGGGGGGUACAUGUGAUCCAUUAGAUCACAUGUAACGACCGUUGGCCAUUGAUAAGCCAAGUAAUCAGCUGACCAUCGCUUCAU